UACGUAGGGGGCGAGCGUUGUCCGGAAUUAUUGGGCGUAAAGCGCGCGCAGGCGGUGACUUAAGUCUGGUGUAUAAGCCCAAGGCUCAACCUUGGGAGGCAUUGGAAACUGGGUUACUGGAGUACAGGAGAGGAAAGUGGAAUUCCACGUGUAGCGGUGAAAUGCGUAGAGAUGUGGAGGAACACCAGUGGCGAAGGCGACUUUCUGGCCUGAAACUGACGCUGAGGCGCGAAAGCGUGGGGAGCAAACAGG
rnacentral:rRNA from 1 species